rnacentral:rRNA from 1 species
AGGACGAACGCUGGCGGCGUGCUUAACACAUGCAGUCGAGCGGAAAGGCCCUUCGGGGUACUCGAGCGGCGAACGGGUGAGUAACACGUGAGUAAUCUGCCCCUAGCUCUGGGAUAGCUCCGGGAAACCGGGAUUAAUACCGGAUACGACCACCUUAGACAUCUUUUGUGGUGGAAAGAAUUUCGGCUAGGGAUGAGCUCGCGGCCUAUCAGCUUGUUGGUGGGGUAACGGCCUACCAAGGCGACGAC